rnacentral:lncRNA from 1 species
AAAUAUUAUACAUAGGGUCCAUGGACGCAGUCGAAAGUAAAACAUACAUUCAUAUAUCUUGAAAACGAGUCUUUAGCAAAAGAUGAUCAAUCUACACCAGCUCCUACAGUUCCGCGAGUGCUACGGUCCUCUCUACUGGUCACCUGCAAAAGGAUGUGAGGAGUGAGUGAACUAGUUUCACUCAGUGAGCCAGGGUUCCCUAUCUAGCAUAUACAACUACCCGUCAUUCUAAACCAACCCCAAACACAAGCAAGACGGGUAGUUCAACAAUCAAUAUUCAAAUAUUAAAUUUUAAAUGAUUAAGCAGUAAACAAUUAAACCAUAAUAAUCCAAACACUCUUUAUGAGUGUCAUCACAUCAAUCAACCAUAUAUAUACUCCUAGGGCCCAACAGAAUCAUUCUUCCUCCACAUAAGGGACACCGGCAAUCCCUUCACUAUUACACCACACAGGCGUAGGCGCUCGGGAAUCGCCCGGUCACGGUCCUCAAUCGGAAUCGCCGUGCCCCGGUCCUCUAUCGGACUCGCCGGGGGCUGUCACAUCCACAUGUGACACUCGGCCUUGGUGAUCAAGCCAAGUUAAACCGAGCCCACCACUUUCCGGACCACGACCGGCUUAGUGGUACCAUUUGAGGAAGCAAUGACCUGCAAACUACUACUAGAACCACCACGAGGUUCUCAUACAACAGUACCAACACGAGGUACACACUAUAACAACAUAUACUAAUCACACAAUCACAAUAAUCUGGGUGCUUAGACUAGUAUUGCUAUCCACUUAGCCCAGACAUCGUCUCAAGCCUCGGAUCCACAAACUGACACCUAGACCGGUCCGACAAUCCUAGCUCGGAAACCGUCUCCGAUGUCAGGAAUCUGCAUUAAAAACACGUUAACAAACAAUUAACCGUGACUCACAGUGAUUAAGCGAUGUGGCUUGACUUUCUGAUUCCGGAAGCUGACCAAACCCUUUUUAUCCCCUCCAAUCUUCGUCUUGAUUCUGUACCGUUAAUCCCGCAAUCUUGUAACACGUCUUGCUUCUCCAAGCAACUCUCUAAACAGCUCCUUAAAUUAUUUAUUUUCUUUUUCUAUUUCUUUUCUUCUUUUNNNN